CCCUGAGAAGGUCUUGGCCUGAAGACACUCACCUCUCUUUCCCCAGGAGUGUCUUUUAGGAAGACAGACAAAUAGCCAGCAGUUCCACAGCGACUCAGGGGACUGCCAGGGUUCAAAUCCUGCUCCUGCUAGAUGCCACUUCUGCUGCUCUUCAUUGCUGCCCUAGACAAGGCCAGGCCCUGCGGCGUGCUGCGAGCCUUCCUUCCGUUAUCUUUACCAGCUCUACAUGGUCAUUCACAGAUGAGAAAGCUGAAGAUCAGAGAGCUCACACAUUUUCCCCAAGGUUACACAGUCAGUAAGAGACACUAUCAGGAUUCCAAUGACCUGCUGUUAAAGUUCAUCU
rnacentral:lncRNA from 1 species